CGCUUUCUCGUUGUAAUUUAUGUAGUUACUCGGAGUUAAAGGUACUUUCCAUCUCCAUUUCUUCGUUAUAAAAUGAAAUCUUGAAGAUGCCAGAAAAGGAAUGUUUGGAGAAUACCCCAAGAGCUCCCAAAUUGCUGAAUGGUUAUCAGAAAUAUGAGAGAUUCAAAUGUUACCAUAGUUUGUAAUUGCCGAGCCAAAGUAGUAGCUUCACUGUUCCUUUGGUCAAAUUGGAUGUACGAUGCAGGAAUAAAUGUAAGCAGCAUUAUUAUAGCAAAUGCAUAAAAGGAAAGUUUAUAGUCAAUAUGUUCCGGUACAUUGCAAUGUGAUUGUUCUUUAACAGUGCUUACUAGAGAUCCAACAAAAAAUGAUGAAAUACCCCAACCUAGUGCACCCCACUGACGUUGUUUUCCGUAAAACUCCCUUUUCUCACCUGCAAGAAUAUAUUUAAAAUAAAUUCAACAUUUAUCAAAUUCAUAGACAUUAGCAAACUCAUUUUAUGUUCUUUUGUGCAUGAUGGCAGUUGAAAAAAUCUGCCUAGCUCAUUGUUGAUAAAAACUUUCUAGGUUAUUCAUUUAAUGCAACUACAUUGUACUACAAUUUAUUGUAACCUUUAAAAAGUAACUCAAGAAGAAUGAACUUUUUAAAGUUAAA